CGAGCUGCAGAGUCGGCCCUCACUGUUUUUGCAAAACCAUCUACCAUUCUUCCAUAGCUAUCUCGCAUAACAGCAGCUACUGCCCCUGACGUUGAACCUUCAGUAAAGGAAGCAUCAAUAUUGAUCUUCAGGACUCCUUGUUGCGGAUUUCGCCAAAUUUGAGUCUUCGGAAUAUGAAAUUGUUCCUUGAUUUCCAAAUAAGCCAAAGGACAGUCGCAAGUAGCUCAAAAGUGAAGGAUUGGACCAGACUUGUUUCGUCCAUGGACAGAGGAGAAAAAGAUGCUCAAUAGUUUCGGGAUGUUGGUGACAUAGCUCACACAUCGGUUCUGACGCAAAACAGUAUUGAUUCAAAACAGCUGCAACAUUCUGGCAUUCCAUAAUCGUUCCAUCGAGGAAAAAGAUUGAGUCGUCUGCAAACAAGAGGUGAGAUAGCGUGGGGCAGAAUCUAUUCAGCUUGAUCCCCAUUAUACUUCCAUCCUCCAUUGCCUUUUUCAUCAAAAAAGAUAAUACAUUACCCACCAAGAUGAACAAAUAGGGGGAGAGGGGAUCACCUUGUCUAAUUCCUCUUGUUGGUUGAAAGUAGGGUAGAGGCUCUCCAUUUAGCUUGACACUAAAGGACACAGUAGAGACACAUUGCAUAAUCCACUUCACCCAUUGAUCACUAAAACCCAUCUUCCCCAUGCAAGCUUCCAAAAAAUCCCAUUCAACUCUGUCAUAAGCUUUUUGCAUAUCAAGUUUAAGCACUGCUUGAAACUUUGUUUUUCUCUUUCUGAUUCUCAACUGAUGUAGCACCUCUUGGACAAUUAAGAUGUUAUCCUGAAUUUGUCUUCCACUCACGAAGGCACUUUGCUCAAUAGAAAUUAAGUUUGGCAAG